rnacentral:rRNA from 1 species
UGUCCCAGUUCGGACUGGAGUCUGCAACCCGACUCCACGAAGUUGGAUUCGCUAGUAAUCGCGCAUCAGCCAUGGCGCGGUGAAUACGUUCCCGGGCCUUGUACACACCGCCCGUCAAGCCAUGGGAGCCGGGGGCGCCUGAAGUCCGGGACCGCGAGGACCGGCCUAGGGCGAAACUGGUAACUGGGGCUAAGUCGUAACAAGGUAAC